rnacentral:rRNA from 1 species
AGCUCUGUAAGCGUAUAUCAAAGUUGUUGCAGUUAAAACGCUCGUAGUCGAAUCUUGGCUGAACUUACGCGGAGUCCGUAAGGAUUCUGCGGUUGAGGAAAGCCUUUGUGGAUUGUGUGCGCGGAGGUGUUUUAUUACACUUCCGUUGUACUGCCACCGUUUACUGUGAAAAAAUUAGAGUGUUCAAAGCAAGCGAUUUGCCCUGAAUACAUUAGCAUGGAAUAAUAGAAUAGGACCUGGUCUUAUUUUGUUGGUUUGUAUAAUUUCAGGUAAUGAUUAACAGGGACGGUUGGGGUCAUUUGUAUUCCGAGGCGAGAGGUGAAAUUCUUAGACCCUCGGAAGACAAACAGCUGCGAAAGCGUUUGCCAAGGACGUUUUCAUUGAUCAAGAACGAAAGUAC